UACAGAGACUGCUAGCGUUGUUCGGAAUUACUGGGCGUAAAGCGCACGUAGGCGGGUUUGUAAGUAGGGGGUGAAAUCCCAGGGCUCAACCCUGGAACUGCCUUCUAGACUGCAAGCCUGGAGGUCAGGAGAGGCGAGUGGAAUACCGAGUGUAGAGGUGAAAUUCGUAGAUAUUCGGUGGAACACCAGUGGCGAAGGCGACUCGCUGGACCGAUACUGACGCUGAGGUGCGAAAGCGUGGGGAGCAAACAGG
rnacentral:rRNA from 1 species